GGAGAUUCAGAAGCCUUUUUUUGCCUCACCAAAUGCAUCCUUCUAGGUGAGGCACAGGGAAGGGGAGUAAGGAUCAGCUCAGUGUGCAGUGCAGUAGUUCUGAAACACAACUACUUUGCACACACAGGUACAUGCAUACAGUAGUAGAUGUCAAUUUAAAGCAUUGCAGACAGCAGAAAUUGAUCUGAGGCUGGCCAUCUGCAUAUUUGUUUCAGCUACAAAUGACUGCAGACCACUGAGAUGAAGAAAUUCUCAGGAGCAUGUAUAGGAAAGAAACAACCUCGAAAGGCAAAUGUUCAUGAAGGCCAACCUUAAAUUACAUCAGAAAGCUACAUUUCACUGAAAUAUGUCGAGGCUGCCAUCUGGCGACAGCAGGAAGAAUCUGGGUGCAGCUCAGGACUUUAUUUCAUCCACCAAUGACUAGUCUCUUCUGAAAUGAUCAGUGCCUUAGACUUCUCCAGGAAAUACUAAAGAAGAAUUUUGCUCUUAGCAAAGACCAAUUAUGUGAUUGGGAAUACCAGUGUUUCUCAGUGCUCACUCUGAGAAAAAAUGAC
rnacentral:lncRNA from 1 species